rnacentral:lncRNA from 1 species
GCACAGGCGUCUGGCUGCUGGGAGCCCCUCCUGAGCCUCCCACCAUGAUGACCAGCCCUCAGGCUUCGAGCAUGAGGUAACUCCACGUAGCAGAGGUUCUCAAGCUCUGACCUAAUUCAUAGGAACGGCUCCCCAGCAGACAUGCCCUCCCCCCGAGUCUUUCAGAGGCCAUGGCUAAGCUGCAGUUGACACCUUUACUUCCUCACACCUGAGCUGCUGUCCUGUCCGUGGUUCUACUGCGUUCCAAAGCACAGAAAAACUAAUUCUAUGUUGUUCUGUUAGCUCAUCACUUCGGAUGCAAAGCAAUUAUUAGGAAUUCCACUCAACAAAUUAAGCCCCUUCAUGUUUCCCUGUCCUAAAGAUCAUGUCUGUGUCUCAGGUGGGAGGGCUGGCCUUGGAGAGCUUGUCUCCUGAGCCUGUGGCAUAGACUUUUGUGUCUUGGAGCUUGUGGCAUCUGAAGCAGCUUGCUUUUAGCGGGCAGGUACAAUGAGGGGCCGUGAUAGAACUAUCAGACCCUGUUAGGCCUAAAGAGGAAAUGAAGGAAGGGACUCGAGUUUUCUUUCUUAUCAAGUGAUCUCCCUAGAAUAGAAUGGAAUGUGGAGGGGAUGGCGGGGGCCCUGCCUGUUAUGUGGACUUGGCUGAAUUUGAGUGACAGGUGGCUAUGGUAAUAGAUAGCAUUAUAAAACUGCAUGGUCAUCCUGCUAUUUUUGAAGUCCUCGCCAUCCCUCACCAACUCGUGUGCGCGAGCGCGUGUGUCGAUGCAUGCGUGCCUGCUUGUGUGUGUAGAUCCGAGGACAACCCUGGGUCUCAACGCUCACCUUCAACCUAGUUUACGAUGAUGCUGUCUUUCUUGAUUGUAGCUGUGCAUGCCAGGGUGGCCGGCCUAAGGGUUUCUGGGCCUCUCCUGUCUCUGUGUCCUGACUUGCUGUAGGAGGUCCGGGCUUCCAGAUACACCCUGCUCUGUGUGGCUCUUAGGUAUGCAAACUCAGGCCUUCAUGCCUGUGGGCAGGUUGUCCACUGAGUCAUACCCAGGCCCUCACCCUGGUCAUUUCCUUUCCAGCUUGUCAGUCAGAAGGCACUGCUUGCCACACAGCUGGUCCUGUAGCUGUUACUGCCCUGUGUGAGCUUUUGGUUGAGGGCAGGGCAGUGGGAAACACAGUCCAACCAGUCCCUCCAUUCUGUUUGCAUGAUGUCCCUUUAGAUAUGUCACUGUUAGGGGGCCUUACUGCCUGGGAAGAGUCACUAAGUACACACAUAUAAAUCUGCCCUUCCAGGAAAUGCAAAUAUCAUGCCUCUCUCUGUGUUCCCUGAGGUCCUGAAAUGUCCAUUUAAUGAACCUACAAAAAUAAAGCUUUUUUACAAAAAUACCCCAACUUUCAGGAAACCUUCACAGAACAUCAGAGAAUGUGUCAAUCUCCUCAUUCAUUAUUCCCGGACAGCCACCAGCACACACUCAGACUGCUGUGAAGUCUAACUUAUUGAAAAAGCAAUGGUUCUCUUUAAAGACAAUGCAUGCUGAGGUCAAUUGCAGCCUUCCUGCCAGAGCUGAAAAGAGGACAUGCACCUCAGAAGAGGAAGACUGGGCUCAGCUCCCUCACAGCACAUCGUCUCCUUGACGCUGGAGUGCAAACUCUUUUCCUCCUUAUGAAAGUCCUUUGUGCCCCUGAGAUUCCCAAGACAGAGCUGUGCUG